CCACCGUCUAUGAUGUAUUUUAUUAAAUUUACGUGAAGGGUUUAAUUUGAGUAUAUCUACAGUCAUAUUGUUAAUGAGUAGUUCUUAUGGUAAGAAAUUAGGUUUACAAAGAAAGCUUCACAUUGAUAGAAAUACAACUACCCGAAAAUACAAGACGAAGGGCCUUCGCUCAAAACCUCGAUGUUCUCCUUGUAUUUUUCAGGUAGUUGUAUCCCUAUCAAUCUGAGACUUUCUUAUUAUUGCCACUACCUACACUGACAAAGAUCGUUUAGGUUUACAAAGGCAAUAAAGUCUUACAUUUGACUAUACAUUGUCAUGGAUGAUGCGUACUUUGUCAUUUGCAUCACGCAAAUCCACAUUCAGUCUCCAGGUUUGUGACUUGGGUAUUUCCAUGUGAAAUUGUUGACCAGUGGGCAAAUGUAGUGACAGCUUGGCAGCAUCGCAAUCCAAGACUAACUCAACCGUGUCGCCUUGUUUAGUCAUAUUUUUUAAAGCAUUAUCAGUCGUAUGUGACCCUUCUUUCCAUAGUUGGCCAUACUGCCCGAGUGCCCAUCCAUAUGAACCAGGCCAUGAGUAUGAAUUGUUAUUCGGUGGUACAACAUCCGCUUUCACUACGCCAACCAACAUCCAUGUUUUAGUUUGAAACGACUCCACCUUUAACUUGAAACGAACACUGCUUUGUUGGUGAACAUUUUCUCCCAGAACAUAACUAUGUCCAUAAAUUGGACCAUGAACUGCAACUGUCCCGCCUUCCUGAAGAGUAACUACAUUGCUGCUGUGUUGAUUGAAUUUCUCGCUAGGCACUUUUUCAGCGGGCACGAUUUCAUCGCUUAAACCGAGGUAUUCCAGAAGAGUAUUAAAACUUUUUGCUUGGUCUUCGGGAACUUUCGGCAAUGGCGUGGGAUUCUCUGGUGUCGCAAUUUUCUUCGUGCGCAGGUAAUCCAAUAUAACAACGAAAUACUGGGGAUUGAAAUCGAAAAAUAUGGCGCCAUCUUGAUCGCGCUCGAGACUGUCCUCCCAACGUCCACUGAACAUUGAGGCGAGCAGCGAACCUUCUACUUGACAAAGAGUAGAUCUUUUUGUGGUCAAUUUGUGACCACCAACGUUGAGGUGUAUGAUAUCGUUGUCGCUGACUUCGACGGCUUUCAUUCUUUGCUUCUCUGCGUUGUAAGCGUGUAGUUCCGCCUUCAUUUUGGCUCGCUCCCCUUCAAUAAUAUCGUUGAAUUCGUUCCUGAAGCGUUUCACCAAGUCAUCGAAUUUCGCUAAUAAAUCUUCGCCGCUCAUGUUGUAGCGGUUUAAAUACACUGAGAAUGAUUUUGAGUUUGAUAAAUGACGCCAACACAACUUCAAAUGUACGUAACGAGAGAACAAGGCAAGGUCGUAUUCCUUGUAAAAGCAAUCUAUUCUGGG